rnacentral:rRNA from 1 species
AGAACGAACGCUGGCGGCAUGCCUAAUACAUGCAAGUCGAACGAACUCUUCGGAGUUAGUGGCGCACGGGUGCGUAACGCGUGGGAAUCUGCCCUUGGGUUCGGAAUAACAGUUGGAAACGACUGCUAAUACCGGAUGAUGACGAAAGUCCAAAGAUUUAUCGCCCAGGGAUGAGCCCGCGUAGGAUUAGCUAGUUGGUGAGGUAAAGGCUCACCAAGGCGACGAUCCUUAGCUGGUCUGAGAGGAUGAUCAGCCACACUGGGACUGAGACACGGCCCAGACUCCUACGGGAGCAGCAGUAGGGAAUAGUUGGACAAUGGGACGAAAGCCUAGAUCCAGCAAUGCCGCGUGAGUGAUGAAGGU